AGCUGCAGGUACAAGCAGAAAAGUUAGUGAAAAACUACGAAAUACAAAUUUAAACCAGUUAUUUGUAAAACCAUUUAUUCAAAUUACAUCAAAACAAAUACUCAUAGAACCACAAACUUCUACCUGUGCAGUGAGUAUACAAAACCAGAGUGAAAGAAAAGAUACAAUUAUAUUACACAAACCUACAUUGAAAAGAUAUAUAGAAUCCAAACUUAUUUAAUUCUCUACCCAGAUGUAACCAAACCAAAGAUCCAAGUCAAGACUAUAUAACUCAAAAAUUACAAAUAUACAAUAGACUUAGAGCACAAAAAAAAAUCAGCUAAUCUAGUUAAGACAUGUUACAAUUAUGGAUUACUAAGUACAGUAUAUACAUAUGAUGGAGAAGAAAUUAGUGGAAUACCAGAGUUAUACAAAGCAUUUAUUACACAUAAAAGAGUUACAAAAGGAAACUUAUUUUAUAUUAAGUUGUAUACAGCACCAGCAGAAAUAUUAUAUGAGGAGGUAAAAUCUCCAAUUCAUGUUAUUAAGAUAGGAUUGACAAAAGGUAUGAUCAUACCAGAAGAUAUUGGACAUCAGAAUGAAAUACCAAAGAUAGAAAUACCAGGUUUUUAUGCCAGUAAAAGAAUAAUUGGUGUAUCAACUAUCAUACAAGAAUUAGCAAAUAAUUAUUUAAAUGAAAAUGCCAUAUGGAGUUAUUACUCUAGAGAUCAUGUUAUGAUAAAUUCAAACUCAAGGGAAUUAAGAAGAGCAGAUAUGGAUGAAGUUCAGCGAUGAAUUUUUUCAUUAUUAAAGACAGAGGAACAACCUACAACACAAGCAUUAAAGAAAGAAUUUAUCUCAGAAGACUUAUUAAUUAGAUAUUGUAAACUUAUUGGACACAAAUAUCCAUAUCAUAGAUGUUUCAAAUGCAAUGGAGAAGAUAAGGUUAUACCAGAUGUUGAUUUGGAAUAAAGAAAAAUAGAUAAUCAUAAAAGAUGGAGGAGAAAAAGAGAUAAAGAUAACAAGGACAAAAGCAGAUACAAACAAAGGACAUAAGGUGGUAGACAAGAUAAAAAGAAAGUUUGAAAUUAUGUAAAGAUAAGUGGUAGACAAAGAUAAAAGCAAAAAGAUAAGAUUCCUUUGUAUAUAGCUUUUACUUUUUAAUAGACCAAUGUAUAGCGGUCAUUUGUAAAGUUUUGUAAAAUAGUCGUAAGUAUACAGUAGGCACAAUUAUGUGUAGGUUUAGAAUUUAGUAUAUAUAGAUUGCCAAACUGUAAAUGAGAGGCAGGCAAGACCAAACAAAAGCUUAAGUUAAUAAAAAGCCUUUCAAAAACCUCUCUCGACAAAAGAUAUAGACUAAGUUAAAAAUGGAGAAAUCCGAAAUCAAGUCAAAUAUUUUAGAUAGCAUGGAAAAUCAAGAGACAAAGUGAUUCGUACGUGAAUGUGAUUUUUGGAGAUAAGCUUGGAUAAGAUGAUCAUUCAAACAAGUUGAAGUAUGCCCUCAUUUGACUCGAGGGCAUAUAUGUCUUUUAUUUCUUUCAUUGCAUUAUUGUAAUAAUGAAUUAUUUCAAUAUUCGGAUUUUAUGGGUCAUGUCCCAAAUAAUCUUGAGUGUAAAGAUUUAAUGAAAAGAGACUUUGUAUUUCCUAUGGAUUUAAUAUGAAAUAUGUUUAUGAUA